rnacentral:sRNA from 1 species
GUUGUAUACUUCACAGUACUUCUAUUAAAAUCGACAUAUUAAAUCGCAAAAAACAAAUUAUAUUAAAACAAAUUAUUUCUCGCACUUAAAAACGCACGAUAUAACAUUGCCGCAGAAAAGGUAGGCAUUAUGCGCAAUGGAACUGUCGAAGGCACCAAAUACACGCACGCUGCAGCCCUCUCACACGUGGUUUAUGGCUUAUUUCGCCUUUAUCCAUUUUUCUUGGGCCAUAAAUCUGUAUAUAUUAUAAUAAUUUUGUUUGGCGCAACCUACCUAAGUUGUACGUGAGAAAAACGGUGCACACAUUUUUGCAGCUACUGCAGGUGCUUAGCUAAUAAACAACCAGUUCAAGGUGUAUUCAAGCAUCCUACUCCACCGCUUAUCAAUUGCAUAGGGCGCUCCGUGCAUGGAUUACCUCGAAGUCGAACGUAGGAUAAUAUGUGCCGAUAUGUCGCUGCGGACUAUAUGGAUCGGUGGACCCAGCACCAUCAUUUGCGACAUUGCCGCUCACGUUCAUAGCUUUGGACGCACAUGGAACAUUUUAACAAGGACGUAAAUCAGCUUGGCAACAAUUUGCAGCCCAAUUUAAGCACUGGAACAAUAUGCAGCAUAAAAUCAUUGCAUACUUUUGUGGUGUGCGGAAAAGCAUAGCCGUAUAUUUUUGUUGAAUACUUUAGGGCAUAUUUAUUAAUUGUCAAGUUGAAAUUAAUCUCAUUAUCCAUAAGCAGGAUCUAUGUGAGCUUCCAUUAUUAUGUAUAAAACUGUUCUUUGUAACGAGAAACCAAUAAUA